rnacentral:rRNA from 1 species
CAGCCGCCGCGGUAAUACGGAGGGUGCAAGCGUUACUCGGAAUCACUGGGCGUAAAGGACGCGUAGGCGGAUUAUCAAGUCUCUUGUGAAAUCUAACGGCUUAACCGUUAAACUGCUUGGGAAACUGAUAAUCUAGAGUAAGGGAGAGGCAGAUGGAAUUCUUGGUGUAGGGGUAAAAUCCGUAGAGAUCAAGAAGAAUACCCAUUGCGAAAGCGAUCUGCUGGAACUUAACUGUCGCUAAUGCGUGAAAGCGUGGGGAGCAGACAGGAUUAGAUACCCGCGUAGUCCCUGUCUCUUAUAC